rnacentral:rRNA from 1 species
UACGUAGGUGGCAAGCGUUGUCCGGAUUUAUUGGGCGUAAAGGGAGCGCAGGUGGUUUCUUAAGUCUGAUGUGAAAGCCCACGGCUUAACCGUGGAGGGUCAUUGGAAACUGGGGAACUUGAGUGCAGAAGAGGAAAGUGGAAUUCCAAGUGUAGCGGUGGAAUGCGUAGAUAUUUGGAGGAACACCAGUGGCGAAGGCGACUUUCUGGUCUGUAACUGACACUGAGGCUCGAAAGCGUGGGGAGCGAACAGGAGUUAGAUACCCUGGUAGCCCUGA